AUUGAACGCUGGCGGCAGGCUUAACACAUGCAAGUCGAGCGAGCGGCGGACGGGUGAGUAAUGUCUGGGAAACUGCCUGAUGGAGGGGGAUAACUACUGGAAACGGUAGCUAAUACCGCAUACCAUCAGAUGUGCCCCGAUGGGAUUAGCUAGUAGGUGGGGUAAUGGCUCACCUAGGCGACGAUCCCUAGCUGGUCUGAGAGGAUGACCAGCCACACUGGAACUGAGACACGGGCCAGAGGCCUACGGGAGGCAGCAGGGGGGAAGAUUGCAAAAGGGGCGCAAGCCGGAUGCAGCCAUGCCGCGUGUGUGAAGAAGGCCUUCGGGGGGUAAAGCACUGUCAGCGAGGAGGCGUUACUCGCAGAAGAAGCACCGGCUAACUCCGUGCCAGCAGCCGCGGUAAUUC
rnacentral:rRNA from 1 species